rnacentral:misc_RNA from 1 species
UACGAAGGGUCCAAGCGUUGCGCGGAAUCACUGGGCUUAAAGGGUGCGUAGGCGGAAAGGUAAGUAUCUUGUGAAAGCCCACGGCUCAACCGUGGAAUUGCAGGGUAUACUGCCUUUCUUGAGGCUGGUAGGCGCCGCCGGAACUGUAGGUGUAGCGGUGAAAUGCGUAGAUAUCUACAGGAACGCCGAUGGUGAAGACGGGCGGCUAGGCCAGUUCUGACGCUGAGGCACGAAAGCGUGGGGAGCAAACAGG